CCGGAGCUUGCUCCACCGGAAAAAGAAGAGUGGCGAACGGGUGAGUAACACGUGGGUAACCUGCCCAUCAGAAGGGGAUAACACUUGGAAACAGGUGCUAAUACCGUAUAACAAUCAAAACCGCAUGGUUUUGAUUUGAAAGGCGCUUUCGGGUGUCGCUGAUGGAUGGACCCGCGGUGCAUUAGCUAGUUGGUGAGGUAACGGCUCACCAAGGCCACGAUGCAUAGCCGACCUGAGAGGGUGAUCGGCCACAUUGGGACUGAGACACGGCCCAAACUCCUACGGGAGGCAGCAGUAGGGAAUCUUCGGCAAUGGACGAAAGUCUGACCGAGCAACGCCGCGUGAGUGAAGAAGGUUUUCGGAUCGUAAAACUCUGUUGUUAGAGAAGAACAAGGAUGAGAGUAACUGUUCAUCCCUUGACGGUAUCUAACCAGAAAGCCACGGCUAACUACGUGCCAGCAGCCGCGGUAAUACGUAGGUGGCAAGCGUUGUCCGGAUUUAUUGGGCGUAAAGCGAGCGCAGGCGGUUUCUUAAGUCUGAUGUGAAAGCCCCCGGCUCAACCGGGGAGGGUCAUUGGAAACUGGGAGACUUGAGUGCAGAAGAGGAGAGUGGAAUUCCAUGUGUAGCGGUGAAAUGCGUAGAUAUAUGGAGGAACACCAGUGGCGAAGGCGGCUCUCUGGUCUGUAACUGACGCUGAGGCUCGAAAGCGUGGGGAGCAAACAGGAUUAGAUACCCUGGUAGUCCACGCCGUAAACGAUGAGUGCUAAGUGUUGGAGGGUUUCCGCCCUUCAGUGCUGCAGCUAACGCAUUAAGCACUCCGCCUGGGGAGUACGACCGCAAGGUUGAAACUCAAAGGAAUUGACGGGGGGCCCGCACAAGC
rnacentral:rRNA from 1 species